UUUUUUCUUUUAAAUUAUUAUUUUCAGGACAAAGAGCAGUACAGAAAGUCCACUCCUGACAGUGGAAAGCAAGAACGAUUCCAAAAUUGAAAGGAAAAAACAUAUCUCAAAUCAGCUGAAGGCAAAUGCACACUUUCAUAAGCUGUUUCUGGAUGUUUCCAUUGAUGAGCCACUAAAACAAAGUUUUACCUGUGCUCUCCAGAAAGAAAUCUAUCAAGGAA